CAAGUUUUGCUUAGGAUUUCCUGAGGCAUAAGCAAGAAAUGACUCAUGUCAAGUCAGUCUUGCCAAAUAAGCUUUAUUUGUAUGACGAAACUGGUCUUGUCUGCUCAGGGAAUUUUCAAGGUUGGUCUGCGUUUGUUUCUGAUGUUAACAAUUGCUUAGAUAAAGCUUGUGAUUCUUCAGAAUAAAGUCAUUGAACAGCAAAAACUGGGAGAAUAGAAAAGGCCAGAACCAAUUCCCUUCAUAAAUCAAAGAAAACCGUAUCUAGUCCAGAAGUUCCCAAAUGUUCAGCUUUAAGAUGCCUGGUGAUGCAAUGACAACAUCAACUCCGCCAUCAACUAGCGACCACCGGAGAUAUCAGCUUGAAUAUACUCAGACUCCACUGUCUGAAUAGUUGAGGGAAAAUCAUUUGUCUUAAACCGUCUACACGAGUCCCUGGCUGGUCUGCUUCCCACCGGGAGAGGCGACGCACCCCUCAGCAUCCCCCCGCCACAGGAAUCCACCGAGGAGCCGGCCACAGCGUCAGCACCCACCGGCUAAAGUGGCAUGGAAGUCCUGGUGCUGUUUAACAGAGGAGGAAAGUGAAGGAGACUGGGAUUCAAUAACCUGCGUAAGUCACACGGAGUAAACGGAGCCACAAGCCUCGCCCUAAAGCCUGUGUUUUUGAUCACCAGACUAUGUACCUACUGAGGAACUGUUCCCAGUGGGUGCCCCGGCCUCUCAGCUGCCUGCUCUCCCUGUGAGCUGCACAACUCUGCCCCCUGGUAAGCUCUCAGAGCCUACCAGACCCUGUCAUGAUUCUUCAUGUGUCUUUAUGUUUUCACUUGUUACAUGGAAAGAUAUUCAUGAUUUCAUACUUUACUGAUGAGACUCAAAAGGGCACGACCCCCUGGGGAUGUGGGGGGAAUUUCACAAUAUUUCCAAACUUACAAGGUGCUUUCACUUUAAUCCAGCCAUCCUAUGGCUAGUAAUUUAUACCACGCCCGCGUACAAAAUAACAUACAUAGAAGAUCACUCAUUACUGCAUGGUUUGUGAUACUAAAAGAACAGAAGCAAGCUGCAUGUUCCCCAUUAGAGGAUUGUUUAAACCAGGAGUUCUUAGCUAGGGUGAUUUAUUUUUGGCUGUCACACUGGGGAGGGUGCCCCUGGCAUCUAGCAGGUAAAGGCCAGAAAGUCGCUAAACAUUACACACUGCUUAGGACAACCUCCAUAACAAAAAUUAUCUGUUCAAAAUUUCAAUAGCACCAAGGAUGAAAAAUUCUGGGUUAAACAAUCUUUAGCAUAAUGAAUACUAUGCAGUCAUUUUUUAAAAAUAGGACCAGAACGCUCUCUAUGUGCAGAUAUAAAAAGAUUUUUAGAAUACAUUCAGUAGAAAAAGCAAGGUCAGAAUGGUCUGUAUGUUAACUUUUUUGGAAAAUAAUAACAUACAUAUAUGUGUAUAUUUGCUUGUGUCUGCAUAAAGAAAACUAAAAGGAUGCAUGGAAUUAAUAAAAAUGAUUACCAACCAGGAUUGAUUGCCUUGGAAGGGGGGAUGGACAGAGACAUGAGUGGGAGCUACACUUCUCCAAAUAAAUCUCAAUAUAUUGUUUUAAUUUGGAACCAUGUGUCUCUAUUACCUAUUCAAAACAAUACAUAAAGACCUGGGACACAAAGAUAAAAAAGACAUUUAUUGAGAAUAAAGGGGUUAUAUCCAAUGUAUCUUUGUGUCCAAAUUAUCUGACCUUAUGUCUUCUCUAAAAUGGACACUUAAAGAAUUUAAUUCCAUUCAAACCAACAGCUUUCACACUGUAAAGUACCUACAUUAAUACAUUAAUAAGUACUGGGCUAGUUACAAAAUUAAAUGGAAAGCAUAACUUACAGCCUUUGACCUCAUGGAGGUUACAGUCAGAUAUUGAAACAAACACAUAAAACAGUAAAAGAACAAUCCAAUUCUUUGGGUGACUUAAUGAAAGAAAUGAAUUCUUCACUAUAGAUUUUCAGAAAAAAAAAUGAAUUAAGUCGUGAGCCAUUUAUCAACUGCUUCUUUCAUUGAACAUGAAAAUUUGUCCUCUGUUAAUUUAUAGACAUCUGACUCUGAUUCAUAGUUUUACUAUUUUAGUUAGAGGAAUGAAGCAUAGAAUUAAAACAAUGACAUCAUAAUACACUCCAAAGAGAAGACAAACCUAAGCCAGACAGGGAUGCCCUGGAAAUUUUACAUCAUCCCAUCUGGGAAAAUGUCAUUAAGUACUGAGGGAUUGCUGCCCCCAAGAGGUUAAUCAAAAACACUCUAAAAUGGAAAAGGAUGACUCACUGAAUUUCAAGAGCCAAACGAUUGAGAAAAGUAGAUAUUGGAUGGAGCCUUGUUUUAUGAGGGAAUGAGACCCACACCCACCAAUUCUGGAGGUAAAAAGGAAGAGAAGGUUGUCAGGAGCUCCUAAGAGUGGAGAAGGGUUUGAGCAAAAGAAAAGUAAUGGAGAGUUCUUGCUCAUUGCAUCCAGUGAACAUUGGUGCAACUUUUGAGGGGAAACUUGUUAGCUUGUAAGCUUUUACUUUUUUAUUUCUUCCUCUCUGUAUUUCUCCAUAGUUGCUAGUGGGUAACCACAAUUAAACAUACCUACAGGGCUCUGUGCAUGUUUCAAUUGUUUAGGAAAAGCUGUAGGGUUUUGUUCUACUCAACAGUAGGCCAAAGGAGGGAAGCCCCCAUCAGCAUCAUCUGUUGAAUGCAGUGGAAAUGAAAGCUUGCAAACUAAAACUCCCACCACAAAGCUCUUCCUAAAGUAAGGGGCAGACAUGGGAAUGAAGAAGGAGAUAUCUAAGCUGGCCUGUGCAUACAGUAAAACAACAAAUUUGACUGGAUCUAUACAGUUGGAACUCAACCAAGAAUUAGGAGAAGUGCAAA